rnacentral:rRNA from 1 species
GGANUGGAAAUGGGGGCACCCUGAUCCAGCGACGCCGCGUGGGUGAAGAAGGCCUUCGGGUUGUAAAGCCCUUUCGGCCGGGACAAAAAUGGCGGAGCGAAUACCUCCGUCCUUGAUGGUACCGGAAGAAGAAGCACCGGCUAACUCUGUGCCAGCAGCCGCGGUAAUACAGAGGGUGCAAGCGUUAAUCGGAAUUACUGGGCGUAAAGCGUGCGUAGGUGGCCUUACAAGUCAGGCGUGAAAUCCCCGGGCUCAACCUGGGAACUGCGCUUGAUACUGUUUGGCUAGAGUGUGGUAGAGGGUGGCGGAAUUCCGCAUGUAGCGGUGAAAUGCGUAGAGAUGCGGAGGAACACCAGUGGCGAAGGCGGCCACCUGGACCAACACUGACACUGAGGCACGAAAGCGUGGGGAGCAAACAGGAUUAGAUACCCUGGUAGUCCACGCCCUAAACGAUGGGUACUAGCCGUCGGGAAGUUUAUCUUCCUGGUGGCGCAGCUAACGCAUUAAGUACCCCGCCUGGGGAGUACGGUCGCAAGAUUAAAACUCAAAGAAAUUGACGA